GUGUCAGCAGCCGCGGUAAUACGGAGGGUGCAAGCGUUAUCCGGAUUCACUGGGUUUAAAGGGUGCGUAGGUGGGUUGGUAAGUCAGUGGUGAAAUCCCCGAGCUUAACUUGGGAACUGCCAUUGAUACUAUCAGUCUUGAAUACCGUGGAGGUCAGCGGAAUAUGUCAUGUAGCGGUGAAAUGCUUAGAUAUGACAUAGAACACCAAUUGCGAAGGCAGCUGGCUACACGAAUAUUGACACUGAGGCACGAAAGCGUGGGGAUCAAACAGGAUUAGAAACCCUGGUAGUCC
rnacentral:rRNA from 1 species